rnacentral:tRNA from 1 species
UGGAGUUGUGGCUCAGUGGUAGAGCACUUGCCUAGCAUGUGUGAGGCCCUAGGUUGGAUUCUUAGCACUGUAU